rnacentral:lncRNA from 1 species
AAUACUUCCACUCCAUUUAAUAUGUGUAGGUAGACAUAGUGGAAUCCUUUACCAUGCUUCAUGAUGCAUUUGCAUAUCAUGAGCAUGCUAGAUCUUCAUCGUAGUAGCAAGAUUGCAUCCGAUGUUUCCUUUCCAGUGUUGCUACUUCAUUUAAUAUGUGUAGGUAGACAUAGUGGAAUCCUUUACCAUGCUUCAUGAUGCAUUUGCAUAUCAUGAGCAUGCUAGAUCUUCAUCAUAGUAGCAAGAUUGCAUCCGAUGUUUCCUUUCCAAUGUUGUUUUGUUUCUUCGCGGAUAGGACUCGAAGAUGACGUGAGAUACGAGCAAGGUCCGCGAAUGUACCAUGCGUUGAUUCCACGCAAGCAAAAGCUAAUUGAACAUUCCAACACAUCCUAUGCUUUCUCCCUUACUCAUGCAUUAGUGUAAUGAUGUUGUACUGAGUCUCAAUGCCUAUUCCUAUGCCUAGCCUGAUCACAAUCACCUGAUAUUGCCUUUACCUUCCAUUCCUAGCAUGUCAUGUUCUGCUUGGUCCAUUGCCAUGUUUAACCAGCUUGUCGUAGUAUGCAUGCUUAGAUUGUUGCUUAAGUCAUAUUAUAUCCAGUUGUUGUUGCUUUUGGGUAGUUGUUAACCUGAUUUUGAUACUCUUUUAUAUGUCAUGUUGAAGCCUUCUUAAGGCAUUUGUUAAACUUUACAUGUCUAAGGUAUAUUCGCUAUGUUGUAUGAGUUGUAUCUUGGUCGAAAGACCCUUUUUUGUAUUCAUUCAUUAAGUUCGAAUCUCCGGAGUUGUUUUACAUAUAUGUUGUUGUUCCAGAUUCUUUCAUGACUUGUGUUGUGAUACUUAUUUUCCACCCGCAUAGCGUGCAUGUUGUCACAUGCACUUUGUGUAAGGUGACAUCUUAGGAUCAAUUAUGUAGAUACUAAAGAAAGUGCUAGAUCUGCAUAGUGUCGGAUCUUGAGACGCUACAAGUUGCCAGAAAUGACAGGAAGGAACAUGCCUUAAGCACAUGCAAGUUACUUACAUUAGAGCAGCAAACAAUAAAUCAAAUCGCAAUCUUACAAAGUAACUGUAUUUUGUUCUUUCUCGAAGACUGGAGACAGCAGAACUAUGAAACAAUUAGGAAAACUGAAAUUCUACCUCGCAAAAAUAGGAACAUUGGAACUGAAAAAAAGAAUCAUGUUCCCUAAUUAUUCCACAGAGGAUACACCACUGAUCAACAUACCAACCAAGCAAACACACAAUGCCCUUUUAUUUAGACUAAUAAAAAAAGGUCAAACUACCAUAUAAAGGCUACCAUAUCCGAACUCAAAGCAUGAAGAUCUUGAUUACUCUAUUGAAAACAUGCCCUUCAUAGAACAGCACACCCACUGUAAUUCUUAAUAUUAGAAAGAUUAAAGAGGUUAAAUUACCAUAUCAAGAUUUCCAUCUCCACUGCAUAUCUGGUCAGUGGACAACAAUUCCAUUGCAUC